rnacentral:rRNA from 1 species
UACGUAGGGCGCAAGCGUUAUCCGGAAUUAUUGGGCGUAAAGAGCUCGUAGGCGGUUUGUCGCGUCUGCUGUGAAAACCUAAGGCUCAACCUUGGGCUUGCAGUGGGUACGGGCAGGCUCGAGUUCGGUAGGGGAGACUGGAAUUCCUGGUGUAGCGGUGAAAUGCGCAGAUAUCAGGAGGAACACCGGUGGCGAAGGCGGGUCUCUGGGCCGAUACUGACGCU